ACUACCUUUGCUGAGUCGGUAGAGCGUCUGCGUACAAAUCCGGAGGCCGCUGGUUUGAAUCCCGCCGGCAGUC
rnacentral:tRNA from 1 species